GAUGAACGCUGACAGAAUGCUUAACACAUGCAAGUCAACUUGAACUUCGGUUUGGGUGGCGGACGGGUGAGUAACGCGUAAAGAACUUGCCUCACAGAUAGGGACAACAUUUGGAAACGAAUGCUAAUACCUGAUAUUAUGAUUAUAUGGCAUCGUAUAAUUAUGAAAGCUAUAUGCGCUGUGAGAGAGCUUUGCGUCCCAUUGGCUAGUUGGAGAGGUAACGGCUCACCAAGGCGAUGAUGGGUAGCCGGCCUGAGAGGGUGAUCGGCCACAAGGGGGCUGAGACACGGCCCUUACUCCUACGGGAGGCAGCAGUGGGGAAUAUUGGACAAUGGACCAAGAGUCUGAUCCAGCAAUUCUGUGUGCACGAUGAAGUUUUUCGGAAUGUAAAGUGCUUUCAGUUGGGAAGAAAAAAAUGACGGUACCAACAGAAGAAGUGACGGCUAAAUACGUG
rnacentral:rRNA from 1 species